UACAGUGGUCCCAAGCGUUGUUCGGAUUCACUGGGCGUAAAGGGUGCGUAGGCGGUCGGGUAAGUCUGAUGUGAAAUCUCACAGCUUAACUGUGAAACUGCAUUGGAUACUAUCCGGCUCGAGGAAUGGAGGGGAGACUGGAAUACUUGGUGUAGCAGUGAAAUGCGUAGAUAUCAAGUGGAACACCAGUGGCGAAGGCGAGUCUCUGGACAUUUCCUGACGCUGAGGCACGAAAGCCAGGGGAGCAAACGGG
rnacentral:rRNA from 1 species